rnacentral:piRNA from 1 species
UGCAGUCACCUGUAAUAGAUGUUGGUCCACC